UACUUUUGAAGUUUUAUACUAAAUUUGGGAUGACACAGAGAAGAUUAGCUUGGCCCCUGCACAAGGAUGACACGCAAAUUCGUCAAGUUUAAAUAAAUGAA
rnacentral:snRNA from 1 species